GCUUGAUAUGAUGACAUAGACCUCUAUUUAUACAGUUAUCCCUGGCUGAAUCACUUGUGUUGAUAUCGCUCUACUUUCUGAUCCUAUC
rnacentral:snoRNA from 1 species